GCCAGCUCCAAACAGAGGUAUUAAUAGAACUGUGCCUCAGAGGCUGGAAUGGUCACUCUUAUCCCUCGGAGCUUCUAGAACAAAGAAUUUCUUCCAAGGGAAGCAGCACAGAGAUCAUGCUGCCCUUACUAAGUUGUUGUGAACAGCAACCAGUUGCAGCAGGGGGAAUGUAUGGUGUCAUGGUGGGUUAUUAAGGGCAGGAGCAGUGUUGCAGAGAAGAACCAAGAUGUCAAAGAAAUUGUGAAAAUGUCUGGAAGAACACACUGCAGCCUUCCAACACAGCAGCCCUGCAGACCUCCCCAAACACCGCCGGUGGGGAAAGAAAGACAUUGCCAGGAUAGUAUGCACUGCAGUCAAUCCAAGAAAGAAAGAAGCAGAGUUCCAUUGGCAUGAAACAAUCAGUAAGUCCUGUAGAUCAUGGAGAAGCCAGUGCAUUCAGCUAAGUGUCAUGGCCCCGUCAGAGGACUCCUCAGAUGAGGACGACUCGGGAGUAACAGCAGCAGACCCAGGAGCAGCAGGAGACACGGAGGAGCCUCCUGAGAAUCCAGCUCCUUCUGCCCCUCAGCUGCAGAGCACCCCAGGGACAGCAGAGGCCCUGCAGCCAGACACAGACAGUGAACAGGAUACUCCCCCCUCACCUGCAGAACGUAGACAGCAGAAGGUCAGGCAGAAGAGAGGCAGGCCUGUCUCCUUAAGGCCCAAACGCUGAGGGCUCACACCUGCUGUCCAUCCUGCUCUUUAUAAGGCACACCUUGGCUGCAGCUUGUUGCUGACUGCAACGUCAGGCGUGGCUUUGUGUAGACCUAGUUUCCCUGCAGCAUCUCUUUGACUGACCUCCUUGGUAAUUGAUCCUGGACCUCCACUGACCUCGCUUCUGGACUUCUGACUCGGCAAGUACGCUUCGGAUAGGCCUGGCAGAUUUACAACCCGACUGCUGGCUAAGGACUUUCCUUCCCCGCCAAAGACCCAGGAAUUUCCAGCCCCCCCUGACACUGCUGAUGCAGUGUAGAGCUGACAUUAAGGUAGAACAUCCUAUAUCAGGGGAACCUGUGACUCUCCUGAUGUUGUUGGACUACAACUCCCAUCACUCCUGACAAUUGGCCAUGUUGGCUAGGACUGAUGGGAGUUGGAUCCAACAACAUCUAGAGGACAACAGGCUCCCUAUCCCUGUCCCACAUGGUGCCUAUCCAGCUUUUCCUUGAAAACCAAGGAGAGAAUAUUCUAUAAGUCAAGUGUGCACCUCCAGUUUGCUUAGGCAUCUUAUUCCCAUUCACUGGUUUAACAAGGUCCAUCUCCCCUUGUCUGAAGAUCUCAUAAGGUCCUAUGUUGUGCUGACCAAAAGCAGGAUGGGUGGACCUUGUGCAUCAGGAGUGCCAAGGUGCCACCCAUGCAAACACAUUUUGACUGCAUCACGUUAACACUGUUUUUGUAGCUAUGGAUAGUGGUCUCAAUUUCCCCAGACUAAUGGGAUAUACCUCUUAACGCCUGCCAUUCUAUUUGUGUGUAUGUGUUGCUGCAACCUCAGACUCCUCCAAGUUGAUGAGUUUAUUGAGCUACAGUACAGCUGCAACAACCCCAAUUCUUUAUGCUUAUAGACAAAAGCUGCAGUAGCAAACUGGUCACGACAUGCAUGAAUGAGACACCACUGCCCUUCAGCAGAAAACAAAAAGGGAGAAGUAGAUUUAUGUUUUAUAUAGUCAAGUUUAGGUUGGCAAAAAUUAUGGCUGUAAUAAAGAGAAUUACAGGGAGGGAAUAAAGGGCUCAAGCUGAAGGUCUUAUAAUGAGGAAUAAAAUAAUACAUUUCACCUAACAGAAGUACUGCUCAUAAUCAAUAAAUGUGAUCAUUUGAGAUUUGAAGUGAUCAUCUAAGCCCAAGAAACUAACACACUCACUCUCCUCCAGUGCCCUUCUUCCCCUCUCCUAUGGACAGAGCCUGGAUGCUAAUGAUGGAGGAUAGGGUGUCUUUAUGGCUUGGAUAAAACAGAAAAGAAUGGGAUGUUUCAUUUAUAACAGUGCAGAAAUUCAGUGCAAAAAAAAUUCCCUUCUGUCUUCCUGCUGCACAUUGGUUGUGGAAGUCACGCAUAUAUGAGUUUGCAAAUCACUCAGAAGGCAUAUAUAUCACACUUAGCAGAGAGAAGGUAAGUUCCAAAGAAUUAAUGAGAUUGGUCUUGAGUAAGAGUACAUCGUUUCAACUGUUAUGACUUGGUGGCUGACCUUUGACCAUCCAGAAGGUGUUGGACAACAACUCUUAUCAUCACUGGCCAUGUUGUCUGGGGCUGAUAGGAGUUAGAGUCCAACAACGUACGGAAGCCCACAGGUUAGCUACCCCUGAGUUAUGAUAAAAGAGUAAAUGAACUCUAAAAAACAAACUUUGUUUCAAAGUCCAGACAGUACAUGCCAGCCUCAUUUUUAAUGAACUGUGUAUUGCUUUGUGGCCAUUCAAGCGAAAGCACAAUCUCUCAGCCAACUUUGUCCUCACAAAGACCUGAGGAAAGCAAGAAGUUGUUCUUUCAGACUUGUUCUGUUAAUAUCGCCAAAUCUAUCUUUCAUGAUGAUGAUGAUGAUGAUGGAAGCAUCAAGUAAUAAGAAGCAUGCCCAUUAAUUGGUCCAAAUUUAUGCACAUGUAGCGGUAGCUGAAGAUCAGAAAUGUCCCCUAAGCUGUCCUUCACAGAUUAGGUGGCCUAAGAAAAGUAAGUAUUACAAGAAAACAAAAAGUUGAAUUGCAUACAGGUUCUCAGUGAGAUUGUGGUCUACACUAGGGAUGUUGCUAGACUAUAUCCUUGACUACUGGGCAGCCUGGCUGUGGCUAAUGAGAGUUGUAGUCUAAAAGUCUGGUAGGCCACAAUUUCUCCAUCCCUGGUCUACAUGCAAGAUCUGCAGGUGUACAACACGGCUCCUUUCUCAUUGUCAUAUCUUGUCAAACUUUUUCAUGAACUUGUCCAAGAGUUUGGAUUUGGAGACAUAAUCAAAUAAACCCAUCAGAAAGAACAACUUCCAGAAUUCAUCCCUGAUCUUUACAAGAAUAAAGUAUGCAGAGAAAUUGUGCAAGGUGAUGUCCACACAAUGUCAUAUGCAAUCUCCAUAAAAAUAAUGCCACUAGUAAUGAGAUUUAUGUUGUGCGCACAUCAAAGAUUCUUUGAGACAUGUUUGACAAAUAUUCCAAGUGGUCUUUUAUGAUAAAGGUGAACUGUGCAGAUUUACUCAUUGAUCUAAACGUAUGUACUAUCUGGGCUUUAUGUGAGGGCAUUUAUGUUUAGGUGUGAAAUUAUAGAAGUAUGCCAUAGAA